AGUGAACGCUGGCGAUAGGCCUAACACAUGCAAGUCGAACGGCAGCACAGUAAGAGCUUGCUCUUACGGGUGGCGAGUGGCGGACGGGUGAGGAAUACAUCGGAAUCUACUUUUUCGUGGGGGAUAACGUAGGGAAACUUACGCUAAUACCGCAUACGACCUACGGGUGAAAGCAGGGGAUCUUCGGACCUUGCGCGAUUGAAUGAGCCGAUGUCGGAUUAGCUAGUUGGCGGGGUAAAGGCCCACCAAGGCGACGAUCCGUAGCUGGUCUGAGAGGAUGAUCAGCCACACUGGAACUGAGACACGGUCCAGACUCCUACGGGAGGCAGCAGUCGGGAAUAUUGGACAAUGGGCGCAAGCCUGAUCCAGCCAUACCGCGUGGGUGAAGAAGGCCUUCGGGUUGUAAAGCCCUUUUGUUGGGAAAGAAAAGCAGCAGGUUAAUACCCCGCUGUUCUGACGGUACCCAAAGAAUAAGCACCGGCUAACUUCGUG
rnacentral:rRNA from 1 species